rnacentral:rRNA from 1 species
AGUGAACGCUGGCGGUAGGCCUAACACAUGCAAGUCGAACGGCAGCACAGGAGAGCUUGCUCUCUGGGUGGCGAGUGGCGGACGGGUGAGGAAUACAUCGGAAUCUGCCCAGUCGUGGGGGAUAACAUAGGGAAACUUACGCUAAUACCGCAUACGACCUUCGGGUGAAAGAGGGGGAUCGCAAGACCUCUCGCGAUUGGAUGAGCCGAUGUCGGAUUAGCUAGUUGGCGGGGUAAUGGCCCACCAAGGCGACGAUCCGUAGCUGGUCUGAGAGGAUGAUCAGCCACACUGGAACUGAGACACGGUCCAGACUCCUACGGGGGGCAGCAGUGGGGAAUAUUGGACAAUGGGCGCAAGCCUGAUCCAGCCAUACCGCGUGGGUGAAGAAGGCCUUCGGGUUGUAAAGCCCUUUUGUUGGGAAAGAAAUCUUUCAGGCUAAUACCCUGGGAGGAUGACGGUACCCAAAGAAUAAGCACCGGCUAACUUCGUG